GACGAACGCUGGCGGCGUGCUUAACACAUGCAAGUCGAACGGAAAGGCCCUGCUUUUGUGGGGUGCUCGAGUGGCGAACGGGUGAGUAACACGUGAGUAACCUGCCCUUGACUUUGGGAUAACUUCAGGAAACUGGGGCUAAUACCGGAUAGGAGCUCCUGCUGCAUGGUGGGGGUUGGAAAGUUUCGGCGGUUGGGGAUGGACUCGCGGCUUAUCAGCUUGUUGGUGGGGUAGUGGCUUACCAAGGCUUUGACGGGUAGCCGGCCUGAGAGGGUGACCUGCCACAUUGGGACUGAGAUACGGCCCAGACUCCUACGGGAGGCAGCAGUGGGGAAUAUUGCACAAUGGGCGGAAGCCUGAUGCAGCAACGCCGCGUGCGGGAUGACGGCCUUCGGGUUUUAAACCGCUUUCGCCUGUGACGAAGCGUGAGUGACGGUAAUGGGUAAAGAAGCACCGGCUAACUACGUG
rnacentral:rRNA from 1 species